GAUGAACGCUGGCGGCGUGCCUAAUACAUGCAAGUCGAACGCACAGCGAAAGGUGCUUGCACCUUUUCAAGUGAGUGGUUGAACGGGUGAGUAACACGUGGACAACCUGCCUCAAGGCUGGGGGAUAAACAUUUGGAAACAGAUGCUAAUACCGAAUAAAAACUCAGUGUCGCAUGACACAAAGUUAAAAGGCGCUUUGGCGUCACCUAGAGAUGGAUCCGCGGUG
rnacentral:rRNA from 1 species